rnacentral:lncRNA from 1 species
ACCACCACGAUGACUUGUAAGCAACUCAUUGUACUUUAGUACUGGACCAUCUAAGUUUCUAACUUAGUGACGGAAGGCUAUUGGGUGCAGUCAAGUACUUAUCAAGUCGGUAUGUGAGUUAAGAUAGAAUUGACCCCUCUGAAUUAGUAAGAGAUAUACAUCAGUGUAUUUCAAUUCAGUAAAACUUUGAUCAGAAUAAUUCAUAAGAUGGAUUUGAAAGGUUGAGAUAUAAUAUGGUCGACUAAAUUAGGAUUGAUAGUUAAACCUUAGGUCGCCUUCAGUAUUUGGGUCAAAGGGAUGAAUUAUACGGUAACCAUAUGCUAGUAGGUUCUAGA